rnacentral:rRNA from 1 species
CCCUUAGAUGUUCUGGGCCGCACGCGCGCUACACUGACGAAUGCAACGAGCUUAUAACCUUGGCCGAAAGGUCUGGGUAAUCUCCAAAUUUCGUCGUGAUGGGGAUAGAUUAUUGCAAUUAUUAAUCUUCAACGAGGAAUGCCUAGUAAGCGCAAGUCAUCAGCUUGCGUUGAUUACGUCCCUGCCCUUUGUACACACCACCCGUCGCUCCUACCGAUUGAAUGGUCCGGUGAAGCGUUCGGACCGUGGCCUUUGGACGGUUCGCCGUCUGUUGGCUGCGGGAAGUUCGUUAAACCUUAUCAUUUAGAGGAAGGAGAAGUCGUANCA